rnacentral:tRNA from 1 species
AGGCCUGGGGAUGUAGCUCAGUGGUAGAGCACUUGUUCUCAAAUGCCGGAGGACCUGGGUUCAAUCCAUAGCACC